ACCUUUAUAGGAUGGAAGAGGCUCUGGUGUUUUAAAAUCGCUCCAUGGAGGUCCCAGUGUUCCCCUGCAGUGUCGUUGCUGCUUGUUUCAUAUUACCAUUGCUAUUGAUCUUGUCGUUUUGUCAUGUAGAGGAGGGGAGGUUUUUUAAAUGAUCCAAAGGAGUUCCCUGGUGGCUCAGUGAGUUAAGGAUCUGAUGUCACUGCUGUGGCUCAGGUUGCUGCUACGGUGCGGGUUUGAUCCCUGGCCCGGGGAACUUCUGCAUGCCAAAGACGCAGCCCAAAAAAGCGAUGCAAAAGGAUCCACUCAGGGAGAUGAAGGUGCUGGGCGUGCCCUCGCCCAUCCCACCCUCUCUCUGCUCAGCUGCUGGAGAACGCGCUCUAGUCUGACUUUCAUUUGUUAGUUCUGUCCCCACGCCCUCCCUCCCUCUCGCUCUCUCCCUCCUUCCCUCUCCUUUCCCUUUCUCUCUCUCUCUCUUCCUCCAAAAGAGAUAUCAUGUGUGGUUUUUCUUUUUGCACCCCUGGCUUCCAGGCCCCCCCCAGCCCCACCCCCUGUAGUGGAUACUCCUUUAGCAGUGAAUGAAUAAAUAGUGGAACAGGGAGUUCCCGUUAUGGCGCAGUGGAAACGAAUCCGACUAGUAUCCAUGAGGACGCAGGUUCGAUCCCUGGCCUCGCUCAGUCGGUUAAGGAUCCAGUGUUGCCGUGAGCUGUGGUGUCGGUCACAGAUGCGGCUCGGAUCCCAUGUUGCUAUGACUGUGGUGUAAGCCCCAGCUCCGAUUAGACCCCUAGCCUGGGAACUUCCCUGUGCCAUACAUGCCCUAAAAAGCAAACAACAACAAGAACAAUAACAAACAGUGGAGCAAAUUUCCCACCAUCCCCCUAAGUCCCUGAGAUUUUAUUCUACAGGAUGAAAGGGAAUUUACUGUGAUCAGGAGGCUGUGGGCCCACACAGGGGACACUCAUUUGGUUGCAAGGAUGCUCUUGAAUCCCUCCAAAGAUGCUUGUGAAUUCACUGGGCCACAAUAGGUAUGAACUUAUGACACCUUUGCCAGCUCUUCCCGAAGGGAAAACUUAAACACAACCCAUCAUUGUUUGUUUGCUCAACUGCAGAUAGUCAGUGAAGGAGACAGGAGCUUCUCAUACCUGACCCCACAGAGGGGUGGGGACCCCAUUGCUGGGACCCUUGACCUUGUAGGUGCAGCCAAAGAGGGUUGCAUCACCCCAAACUGGACUUGGCUGUUUGUCCUUGAGGUUCUCAGUCGGCCUCUUCUAGAAACAAGCUAGGGCCCCUGAGUUCCACUGUGGACCACGAACGCCCUGCAUCCAGAAGCCCUGAACCCCCACAAGGAUGUCUAGCCUUUCUGUCUGCAAGGCAAGUGUUCCCUUUAUUACUGGUAAUCAAAGAUGAUGUGUUCAGACAAGACAGCAUUUUCCUCCCGCUGCAUCAUGCUGGGUUUCUAUGGCAACGGUUUCAAAGAUGGUGAAUUUGAUUUUUCUUCUUAAUCUCUAAUGCUCUCAGCCAUCCCCAAAUAUCCUUGUUAUCCUGGGCCUUUGGUGGACCUGGAGAUAUUCAGCCACAGCAAGGAGAACCACCUCAUCCACCGUGGGAUGUUGUAUCAAAGCGGGCAAGAUGCAGCAAGUAAUGGAGAAAACUUUCUUAACAAAAAAUGUUUUUCGCAGCUACUCUGUGUGAGUUGCUAUGCUAGGCACUGAGGAUUCAGAGAGAAAUGAGCUCCUGUCCUUCAAAAGCUCACAGUCCCUGGAGUUCCCAUGGCAGCUCGGUGGUAACGAACCCGACUAGAAUCCGUGAAGACUCGGGUUCGAUCCCUGGCCCCACUCAUUGGGUCAGGGAUCCAGCAUUGCUGUGAGCUGUGGUAUAGGUCACAGAUGCGGCUCGGAUCCCAUGUUGCUGUGGCUAUGGUGUAGGCCAGCAGCUGCAGCUCUGAUUCUACCCCAAGCCUGGAAACCUCUAUAUGCCUCGGGAGUGGCCCUAAAAAGACUAAAAAAAAAAACCUCACAAUCUCUAGGAAAGGUAAACAAGCACGCAGCUAGCUAUAAUGUUAAUUUAACAUACCAUUAGAUAAUAUAAUAUUCUGUUAGCACAUAGCUGACUAUGGUGUAAUGUAAUCUAACAUGAUGUGUUCGUACAUAGCUAACUAUAAUACAAUGUAUAUAUUGUAAUAUAAUAAAUAUAAUGUAAUGUAACCUAAUAAAUAUUUCAUCAGUUGUAAGAAUAAAUUAGUGUGGGGCUCCAGUGGAGAAAGCCAUUCAGCCUAGAGGAACAGCAAGGGUUAGGAGCUGGCAGAUGGGGAUGGUGAUUCCUGAUCAGUUUCUUGGAGCUGUGCAAGCUCAGAGAAAUGACUGCCCCUCUCUGAGCUCCCAGCCACCCUCCUCGUGCUGGGCUGGUGUGAGGCUGAAAUGGCACCCACCCAGUCCACAGCCACUCUUCCUUGGGACUUCCUGCUCAUCUCUGGUCGGCCCCUGGGUGCUCAGGAGAGGACGUGAGCAGAGGCAGAGGACCCGUAGGCGUGGAGGAGCAGGUGAGCCUGCUGCAAAGGCAGCAGCCUGAGCAGUGAAAUGCUUCAUGAAAGUGCCUGGCACGCAGGGCUCGGGGGAAGGAAGAAGGGCAGUGUGGCCCAGACAGGUGAUGGGAUCUGACCCAUCCAUCACUGCGUGCCCUCUGCCUUCCCCUCUUUGAGGGAAUGAAGCAUCUGUCCUCUUGGUCGGACACAGCCACGUAGAGCGACUCUGGAGGGCUGCGGGGCGAUGUCGCACAUUCUCCCCCUCGGCGUGUGCCUCUGUCUCCUCUCCUUGCCCCAUCAGACAAACAUGGUGAUGCCACCCACCCCAGGGGGUUGUUCGUGAUAAAACACCAUCAUGCUCGUAAGAUGCCCAGUGCAUACCUGGCAUAGAGCAGGCUCUCAAUACAUAGUGGUUUUUAUUUUUAUUUCCUAUGCUUUGCUUUUAAUUAAAAACUCUUCAGCACGUAAGCAUUAACCCACAAGAGUGGCAGGUAUUGACAUUAGGCAGCAACUGUUGCCAUUAACUUCAGGCUACAUGGAAGAAAAACAGAAAAAUGAGUAACUGACUAUGUGCUGUAAAUCUUGAUUUAAGGGUAGAACGGCUUUUUUCCCUCAUGUUCUUUCAACAAAACAGCCAAGUUUGGAGGCCAGUUCUCUGCCAGGGUUUUCCCCCCAACCCCAGGUAUCAGGAGAAAGCCUUCGCAAUUGGUGAUCCGAAAGCCUGGAUGCCAUUCUCCGUUGUAUGAUGCGCCCUGGAGUGAUUUGAGGCCAGAUGCCUAAAAGCUUGGGGCUAGAGGAGCGGUCACGACAGGCCAGACCCGGCACUGAUUCUGGCCGUGAGCUUCAGCAUCUGCAGUAGGAGGCAGAACCUGCCUGCUGAUCCUGUCACAGAGAGGAGAAAAGGAGGUCCCGCUUCCACGUGAGACCAAGGCAGAACAAGCACACAUCUGGUAUCGAGGGCAUCAGCCGGUCAGCACAGCGGGCAGAGAAGGCGGGCAGAGCACAGCUGAGUUUCUCAGCAAAAGCCUGCAUAUCUGGCCCCUGUAGAAAGUUUCCAUCUAUUGCUACUUUAUUGCCUUUAGCACCUCUGUUCCAGGUGCUGAGCCCUGGCACAUGCUGAUUUUCCUAGUAAUACUCUUGGAGCCUUGCCAGGUACCCCACAAUACUCGGGCAGUUGGAAUUCGGGCUCUGGAACUUCGGGACCAUGGAACCUGUUGAAGCCUCAGUUUUGCCAUCUGUACGAUGGGGAACGAUCACCUCCCAUCGAGGCACCCUGGCUGACCCCGGGCAGGCGUGGGGUGGGCGUGGCGCAAGGUGCCAUGGGCAGGGCAUGUGGAGCUGGACAGCAGGCUGGGUGGCUUUGGGAGACUUCAGCCUCCUCCUCUGGCCUCGAAGGCUCAGGGCUCAGGGCCUGACAACUGACCAUGACCUUGGAGAGUGAACUCUGAGGUGGAGUCCCAGGACACUGAUGCUGCUGCUUUGGGCUCCACAAAUCACUGCCUUGUCUUAGGUCUUAAAGGCUUUCAAGUGUGUUGAUUUAGAGGCAGUGACUCCCUGUUUUAUUCUGGGGCCCUUCUUCUUGGCUUAUUUUCACAACCUGGAAGUUUCGAUGGGGCCCUGGGCCCAGAUGCCACCGCCACCAUGUUAAAAAGUCUCCAAACCCCUGCUUAUUAGCAUUUCUUCCAGCACUUUCCACAGGUCCCAGGGGAAGAAAUGAACAGAGCAAGAUGUCAUCCUGCUCCCAUUUCAUAUACUCCACCUCAACCCCUGUACCCGGAGCCGGAGCCGAGGCCUGGGUGCUUCGGCCAAAGGAGAAUUGGGGCUGGAGGGGCGAUUUUAGGCAGAUGCCUAAAACUUGGGGCUAGAGGGGCGGUCGCUACAGACCAGACCCGGCACUGAUUCUGGCCCUGAGCUUCAGCGUGGAGGGUGCUCUGGGGGUCGUCUCUGCAUUUCCCUCAGUGAGGACUCGGAUGCCCAGAAUCUUACAGUCUCUGCAUGGUUGUUUACUUUUUACAUAAGCGAGUUCCCCCUUUGGUGUCGCCCAGGGCACCCUGACCUGGGUCACGGGCGUGGACUCAGCGUCCUUCUCUCCCCGGAGCUGGGUACCUGUCAUGUCCUCAACGCUCCAUCUGAGCCUCUCUGGGGAGGCCCUUGGCAGAGAAAACUCAGACUGUGUUUAGAGAAAUGCAGGGCCUCGGGGAGGGGGACACACUUGAGGCGUGUGGCUGCUGGACCCAGAUUCUGAGCUUGAACUGCUGUGUGGGUCGCAAAGUUCCACUGAUCUGUGCACCUGAAUUCUCUCAUUCGUGUUCUCUCUCUCUCUCUCUCACACACGCACACACACACACACCUUCUGACCCCCACUCCUUGUUAGCCAAGGAACUGACCUUGUGCAAACUCCUUAACCCUUUCGAGAGGCAGGUUCUGCAUCCCUGUUUGUUGAAGGCAUUAGUAAAAGCAACCCUCCCUGGGCUGUUAGCCGUUAUAAAAAUCCAGGCUGAAGCCAUGCCCAGAAGUGGCCACACAGCCCACAUCCAGGUCCAGCCUCUGCCCUCAGAAGGCCCCUGCCUCACCCCGCGCUCUCUAUCCUGGGGGCCUGCAGGUCGCUGGCAGGCAGCUAAAUGAAUGGGCUCCCUGCGAUGCCCUCUGCCUGCAGUUCACAGGGACCUCUGAGCUCAUCCCGAUCUGUCAUUUGAGGCGCAAAGAAGGGAAAACAAUAUCCCUUGAAGUGGGAAUUGCCUGCAUAGAGGGUCCAUCUCAAAAGUCAUUUGAAUCAAUUCGAGAUUCCUGUACAAGCCUCACUGCUCUUAUUCUUCUUAAGGGAGAUUUUUGAAAUAGGAUAGACAUGCGGGCAAAUGGACAGCUUGAUGUGUCGUCAGGCCCGGGUGACCAGCUCCCAGGUCAAAACACAGCUAGCCCCUCCCUCAAGCCCCCUUGUCCUCUUCCCAGACUUCACCCCCCACCCCGGGAGCAACUCUAUCGCUGACACCAGAUACUAGUUUUGCCUGGUUCCGACCUUUAGAAAAAUCAGUUUCCCAACCUGCCCCUCUUGGCAUUUGGGAGGACCCUGUGGCCAGGGGCUGCCCUGUGCUCUGUAGGGCGUGGGCACCAUUCCAGCCUCCACCCACUGGAUGCCAGGAGCAUCCCCUCCCCACCCGCUGUGACAAUCAAACUGUCUGCAGAGAUCACUGGAAGUCACCUGGGGCAGAAUAGCUCCAGGCCAAGAACAGUGAUGAGAAUGGAAUCCUACUGCAGCCGCCUCCUCUUCUGUCUGAGGGCUUCCUUUUGUUUCGUUUUGUCAACAUUGUGUUUGGGAGAGUCAUCCACGCUGCUGUGUGGAUUGUGGUU
rnacentral:lncRNA from 1 species